rnacentral:lncRNA from 1 species
AUGUUCACCAUGCAGGGAGAGAGAGAGAGGAGAGAGAGGAGAGAGGGGUUGUGUGUUGGGUCAUUUGUUCACCAUGCAGGGAGAGAGAGAGGAGAGAGGGGUUGUGUGUUGGGUCAUAUGUUCACCAUGCAGGGAGAGAGAGGAGAAAGGGGUUGUGUGUUGGGUCAUAUGUUCACCAUGCAGGGAGAGAGAGGAGAGAGGGGUUGUGUGUUGGGUCAUAUGCUCACCAUGCAGGGAGAGAGAGGAGAGAGGGGUUGUGUGUUGGGUCAUAUGUUCACCAUGCAGGGAGAGAGAGGAGAGAGGGGUUGUGUGUUGGGUCAUAUGCUCACCAUGCAGGGAGAGAGAGGAGAGAGGGGUUGUGUGUUGGGUCAUAUGUUCACCAUGCAGGGAGAGAGAGGAGAGAGGGGUUGUGUGUUGGGUCAUAUGCUCACCAUGCAGGGAGAGAGAGGAGAGAGGGGUUGUGUGUUGGGUCAUAUGUUCACCAUGCAGGGAGAGAGAGAGGAGAGAGGGGCUGUGUGUUGGUCAUAUGUUCACCAUGCAGGGAGAGAGAGGAGAGAGGGGCUGUGUGUUGGGUCAUAUGUUCACCAUGCAGGGAGAGAGAGAGGAGAGAGGGGUUGUGUGUUGGGUCAUAUGCUCACCAUGCAGGGAGAGAGAGGAGAGGGGUUGUGUGUUGGGUCAUAUGCUCACCAUGCAGGGAGAGAGGAGAGAGGGGUUGUGUGUUGGGUCAUAUGUUCAUCAUGCAGGGAGAGAGAGGAGGGGAGAGAGGAGAGAGGAGUUGUGUGUUGGGUCAUAUGCUCACCAUGCAGGGAGAGAGAGGAGAGAGGGGUUGUGUGUUGGGCCAUAUGCUCACCAUGCAGGGAGAGAGAGGAGAGAGGGGUUGUGUGUUGGGUCAUAUGUUCACCAUGCAGGGAGAGAGAGGAGAGAGGGGCUGUGUGUUGGUCAUAUGUUCACCAUGCAGGGAGAGAGAGGAGAGAGGGGCUGUGUGUUGGGUCAUAUGUUCACCAUGCAGGGAGAGAGAGAGGAGAGAGGGGUUGUGUGUUGGGUCAUAUGCUCACCAUGCAGGGAGAGAGAGGAGAGGGGUUGUGUGUUGGGUCAUAUGCUCACCAUGCAGGGAGAGAGGAGAGAGGGGUUGUGUGUUGGGUCAUAUGUUCAUCAUGCAGGGAGAGAGAGGAGGGGAGAGAGGAGAGAGGAGUUGUGUGUUGGGUCAUAUGCUCACCAUGCAGGGAGAGAGAGGAGAGAGGGGUUGUGUGUUGGGCCAUAUGCUCACCAUGCAGGGAGAGAGAGGAGAGAGGGGUUGUGUGUUGGGUCAUAUGCUCACCAUGCAGGGAGAGAGAGGAGAGAGAGGAGAGAGGGGCUGUGUGUUGGGUCAUAUGCUCACCAUGCAGGGAGAGAGAGGAGAGAGGGGUUGUGUGUUGGGUCAUAUGUUCACCAUGCAGGGAGAGAGAGGAGAGAGGGGUUGUGUGUUGGGUCAUAUGUUCACCAUGCAGGGAGAGAGAAGAGAGGGGUUGUGUGUUGGGUCAUAUGCUCACCAUGCAGGGAGAGAGGAGAGGGGCUGUGUGUUGGGUCAUAUGCUCACCAUGCAGGGAGAGAGGAGAGGGGCUGUGUGUUGGGUCAUAUGUUCACCAUGCAGGGAGAGAGGAGAGGGGCUGUGUGUUGGGUCAUAAGUUCACCAUACAGGGAGAGAGAGGAGAGAGGGGUUGUGUGUUGGGUCAUAUGUUCAUCAUGCAGGGAGAGAGAGGAGAGAGGGGUUGUGUGUUGGGUCAUAUGUUCACCAUGCAGGGAGAGAGAAGAGAGGGGUUGUGUGUUGGGUCAUAUGCUCACCAUGCAGGGAGAGAGGAGAGGGGCUGUGUGUUGGGUCAUAUGUUCACCAUGCAGGGAGAGAGGAGAGGGGCUGUGUGUUGGGUCAUAAGUUCACCAUACAGGGAGAGAGAGGAGAGAGGGGUUGUGUGUUGGGUCAUAUGCUCACCAUGCAGGGAGAGAGAGGAGAGAGGGGCUGUGUGUUGGGUCAUAUGCUCACCAUGCAGGGAGAGAGGAGAGGGGCUGUGUGUUGGGUCAUAUGCUCAACCAUGCAGGGAGAGAGAGGAGAGAGGGGUUGUGUGUUGGGUCAUAUGUUCAUCAUGCAGGGAGAGAGAGGAGAGAGGGGUUGUGUGUUGGGUCAUAUGCUCACCAUGCAGGGAGAGAGAGGAGAGAGGGGCUGUGUGUUGGGUCAUAUGCUCACCAUGCAGGGAGAGAGAAGAGAGGGGUUGUGUGUUGGGUCAUAUGCUCACCAUGCAGGGAGAGAGGAGAGGGGCUGUGUGUUGGGUCAUAUGUUCACCAUGCAGGGAGAGAGAGGAGAGAGGGGCUGUGUGUUGGGUCAUAUGCUCACCAUGCAGGGAGAGAGAGGAGAGAGGGGUUGUGUGUUGGGUCAUAUGCUCACCAUGCAGGGAGAGAGAGGAGAGAGGGGUUGUGUGUUGGGUCAUAUGUUCACCAUGCAGGGAGAGAGAGGAGAGAGGGGUUGUGUGUUGGGUCAUAUGUUCACCAUGCAGGGAGAGAGAGGAGAGAGGGGUUGUGUGUUGGGUCAUAUGCUCACCAUGCAGGCUUCCAUCAGCGCUGUGUGCAUCUCAUCAGUCUUGUGCUCCUGAUCCGCCCCGGCCUCCAGCAGAAACCUCACCAUGUCCAGAUGACCUGAAGAAGGGAAACCGUUUCAUAGAAAUUGACAUUUUGUUGUCUGAGACUCUGAAAGAUGCUUUUUUUGGGGGGGGGUGGACAACAAGUGGACAACAAGUGAAGAAGACCUUUGUAGCAGGCGAGUGUGAGGGCGCUCUCCUUGAACUCGUUGGAGUGUGUGUUGAUCCCGGCGCCGUACUCCAGCAGAACCCUGGCCACCUCCACGUGGCCCGCACUCGCCCCCUCCAUUAG